rnacentral:rRNA from 1 species
AACGAACGCUGGCGGCAUGCCUAACACAUGCAAGUCGAACGAGACCUCCGUGUCUAGGGGCGCAGGUGGGGGUAACGCCGGGGAACCUGCCCGUAGGUUCGGAAUACCUCCCCGAAGGGGGUCUUAAUACCGCUUGAGCUCAUCCGGCCAAGGAGUUUUCGCUUUUGGGUGGGGGUGGGUUGGUUUAGCUGGUUGGUAGGGUAAAAGCCGGCCAAGGGCAGGUUGCAGAGCUGGUCGGGGAGGAAGACCCGGCAGAAUGGGACUGCGGCACGGCCCAGACUGCUACGCGAGGCAGGAGUGGGGAAUAUUGGAGAAUGGGCGAAAGCGUGACCCAGCAAUGCCGCGUGUGUGAGGAAGGGCUUAGGGUUGUAAAGCUCUUUUACCCGGGAUGAUAAUGACAGUACCGGGAGAAUAAGCACCGGCUAACUACGUG